rnacentral:pre_miRNA from 1 species
AUAUGAGUCACCUGAAGAUCUUGUUAAAUUGCAGAAUCUGAUUCAGUAUGUCUAAGAUGCUGCAUGUCUAACAAGCUCCCAGGUAACAUCAAU